UGGGGAAUAUUGCACAAUGGGCGGAAGCCUGAUGCAGCGACGCCGCGUGGGGGAUGACGGUCUUCGGAUUGUAAACCCCUUUCAGUAGGGACGAAGCGCAAGUGACGGUACCUGCAGAAGAAGCACCGGCUAACUACGUGCCAGCAGCCGCGGUAAUACGUAGGGUGCGAGCGUUGUCCGGAAUUACUGGGCGUAAAGAGCUCGUAGGCGGUUUGUCACGUCGUCUGUGAAAUCCUUCGGCUUAACCGGGGGCGUGCAGGCGAUACGGGCAGACUUGAGUACUACAGGGGAGACUGGAAUUCCUGGUGUAGCGGUGAAAUGCGCAGAUAUCAGGAGGAACACCGGUGGCGAAGGCGGGUCUCUGGGUAGUAACUGACGCUGAGGAGCGAAAGCAUGGGUAGCGAACAG
rnacentral:rRNA from 1 species